CCCUUAGAUGUCCGGGGCUGCACGCGCGCUACACUGAAGGAAUCAGCGUGCUAAAACCAUUGUCGAAAGGCAUUGGUAAACCCAUUAAAAUCCUACGUGAUUGGGAUCGGGAAUUGCAAUUAUUUCCCUUGAACGAGGAAUUCCCAGUAAGUGUGGGUCAUAAGCUCGCGUUGAUUACGUCCCUGCCCUUUGUACACACCGCCCGUCGCUACCCGGGACUGAGCCGUUUCGAGAAAAGCGGGGACUGCUGCUGUCGGGGCUUUCGGGCCUUGGCUUCGGUGGAAACCGCUUUAAUCGCAGUGGCUUGAACCGGGCAAAAGUCGUAACA
rnacentral:rRNA from 1 species